rnacentral:ncRNA from 1 species
CAAAGGUUUGGUCCUGGCCUUUCUAUUAAUUAUUAUUAGAACUACACAUGCAAGUUUCCGCUGCCCGGUGAGAAUAUCCUCUUAAACUCAUUAAACAAGUUAAAAGGAAUUGGUAUCAGGCACACCACCUAAGGUAGCCAAUAACACCUUGUUUCACCCACACCCCCACGGGAUACAGCAGUGACUAACAUUGAGCUAUAAACGAAAGUUUGACUAAAUCAUAAUAAAGUAGGGUUGGUAAAUUUCGUGCCAGCCACCGCGGUCAUACGAUUAACCCGAAUUAAUAGAAUACCGGCGUAAAGCGUGUCUAAGCCUAUCAAACAAAAUAAAGUUAAUACUUAACUAAACUGUAAUACGUUCUAGUUAAUACUAAAAUAAAUAACUAAUGUAACUUUAUUAUCCGCCUACUACACUACAGCUAUGGUACAAACUGGGAUUAGAUACCCCACUAUGCAUAGCCUUAAACCAAGGUAAUUCAAUAACAAAAUUACUCGCCAGAGAACUACUAGCAAUCGCUUAAAACUCAAAGGACUUGGCGGUGCCCUAAACCCACCUAGAGGAGCCUGUUCUAUAAUCGAUAAACCCCGAUAUACCUUACCCUUUUUUGCCAUUACCGUCUAUAUACCGCCAUCGUCAGCCCACCCCAAAAGGGAUAAAAAGUAAGCAAGAUUAUCUAAACCAUAAAAACGUUAGGUCAAGGUGUAGCAUAUAAAAGGGAAAGUAAUGGGCUACAUUCUCUAUAUUAGAGAAUAACGAAUCAUUUUAUGAAACUAAAAUGUUUGAAGGAGGAUUUAGUAGUAAAUUAAGAAUAGAGAGCUUAAUUGAAUUAGGCAAUAGGGCGCGCACACACCGCCCGUCACCCUCCUCAAAAAAUCAUUAACAAUAAAUAAUACUAAACUUAAAAUAAAGAGGAGAAAAGUCGUAACAUGGUAAGUGUACUGGAAAGUGCACUUGGAACAC